rnacentral:rRNA from 1 species
UGGCUCAGGACGAACGCUGGCGGCGUGCUUAACACAUGCAAGUCGAACGGUGAUGUCAGAGCUUGCUCUGGCGGAUCAGUGGCGAACGGGUGAGUAACACGUGAGUAACCUGCCCCCGACUCUGGGAUAACUGCUAGAAAUGGUAGCUAAUACCGGAUAUGAYGAUUGGCCGCAUGGUCUGGUCGUGGAAAGAAUUUCGGUUGGGGAUGGACUCGCGGCCUAUCAGGUUGUUGGUGAGGUAAUGGCUCACCAAGCCUACGACGGGUAGCCGGCCUGAGAGGGUGACCGGCCACACUGGGACUGAGACACGGCCCAGACUCCUACGGGAGGCAGCAGUGGGGAAUAUUGCACAAUGGGCGCAAGCCUGAUGCAGCAACGCCGCGUGAGGGAUGACGGCCUUCGGGUUGUAAACCUCUUUUAGUAGGGAAGAAGCGAAAGUG